UUAAAUAAUGCACGGCGGGGCACCUGGGGUCUUCCUCCACCAUCAAAACCUGGAAAGUCGCCAUAAUUAUGACCUAUAAUUGUGUAGGUGGACGUUAAACCCAGCAAAAAGCAAAUAUUGUCCGUCCGUUAGUCAGUCGGUUUGCUCACCUGUGUUAGUAGAGUGAAAUUUUAUACUUUAAAAAAACUACAUGAGUAAAAAGUGAAAGUGAAAUUUAUUUUUCAUUGAAUUGCAACUUGAUUAUACUCUUGUCAUUCAUUGUUAGUGUUUCAAGAAAGCCCGCGCAUAUUUCAAUUAUUAUAAAUAUAUCAUUUAUAGAAUAAAUGUUUUCGAUGUCACCUGUAACUUAUGAUUUUCAAAAUUAAAAUCUUAAUUUCAAAGAUAUAACUAAAUUGGAUGGAUUGUUUAUAUUUUAUUGUACGAAUUAAUUGAUACCUAAGCUUGUAAAUGUUUGGUUCCCGAUGAGCCUCGUUGGGCUUGGAUUGUAGAUCUAAAAUAAUUGACGAUAAUUAUUUUUGAAUAUUUCGCAUUAAUUCGUAUUCCAUUAUUUGUUUGUGUUGUAUUUCUCCUCAACAAAAUUUAUUCCAAAAGUACACAAUGUCAGUAAUUUCUUUGCCAAUACCUUACACAAUGCAUGACACUGCUUUCUUACAAUAUUGUAAAUUUAUUAUCUAAACUCGCAAUAUAUCGGAGAAGCAGCAAGUGUCCCGAGGACCUCCCUUAAUAUUCACUCACCAAAAGUCAUUUUUAGUAGAGUCGGGCAAAUAAUUUGAGUGCACUAAAUGAGUUGAGCUGGUGAAAUGUCUAUAAAUAUAGCUCUAAAUAUAGCUCUAAAUAUUUUAAUCGAGAAGAGAUGAGCUCAUAGAUAUUUGUCCCAUAUCCUUAUAUAAUAGGGAGACACCGUACUGUACUGAAUAUGUGUCAAACUAGUAUUCAUGUCGUUGUGAUGUCCAAACAGUGUGACCAAAGACCAAAGCGUGUGAAGGAUGAUCACCUUGUCUUAGAUAAGCUUACGCAGAAUAUUGCGACCAUACAUCUGACUGCAAAUUAGUGGCCUGCAACCCAGGUUUUCAACUCUACUGCUACAGAGACAAUGUGUGCACAUGUAUUGCGCAAUCUAGGACGUUUAAUUGCUCGAUGCCCGCUGAGUGUGACCAUGCAUUCGGUAGAUGUUCGCACGGAGAUCACCAUUGGCACUGUGUAGACAACAGAUGUCUAUGCCGUCUCCCCCAUGAUUAAAUAUCCCCGGCAUCAACACCAAAAGUUCAAUGGAUAAUGUUUUAACUGUUUGAAUGUGUUGUUUGAAUAAACUUUGCGUGAA
rnacentral:lncRNA from 1 species